rnacentral:rRNA from 1 species
UGGUGGACUACUUCUUGCCCUCUUCUAACGACUGAAACACGGAUUACUACCAACGGACUUGAAGCAUCUCGUUUAACUGCUCCACAACUAACGACUUAAACCAGAAUUCUCCGUGCAGCACCCUCUAUAGGGAACACCGUCCAAGUUUCAACACUACCAUAGACCACAGAGGGUCGCUCUAAACAAGGAAGAGAAUUGUCAAUGAUAAUUCUUGUUUAAAUACAAAGGUCGUUUUUUCAACCGGCCGGGGUCGUUUUUUUUUUCUUGUCAAGGUCGUUUUUUUCUAGCAGCGGCACCAGUGUCCACAGUUGUUCGUCAGAAGCCUUAGUAGUUAUUCGGUUGUCG